GACGAACGCUGGCGGCGCGCCUAACACAUGCAAGUCGAACGGAGCUUAGAGAGCUUGCUUUUUAAGCUUAGUGGCGAACGGGUGAGUAACGCGUGAGUAACCUGCCCUAGAGUGGGGGACAACAGUUGGAAACGACUGCUAAUACCGCAUAAGACCACAGAGCCGCAUGGCUCGGUGGGAAAAACUCCGGUGGUAUGAGAUGGACCCGCGUCUGAUUAGGUAGUUGGUGGGGUAACGGCCUACCAAGCCAACGAUCAGUAGCCGACCUGAGAGGGUGACCGGCACAUUGGGACUGAGACACGGCCCAAAACUCCUACGGGAGGCAGCAGUGGGAAUAUUGCACAAUGGGGGAAACCCUGACUGCAGCGACGUCCGCGUGAGCGAAGAAGUAUUUCGGUAUGUAAAGCUCUAUCAGCAGGGAG
rnacentral:rRNA from 1 species